GUCACAUUUGUGUGCAUAAAAGAACUAACAAAAAUGUAAAGUUGAAUCUUGCUAAACAUCCGAUUCGAAGGAGGUUCCUAUGGUGACCUCAUAUUAUCGAAUAAGUUCGUAAAAGAAGAACCGGAAACUUAGCGAAUCUGUGAACCUUCUGGGUACGAAAACCGUUUGCUUCAAGACGCUCCAUUUCCGCUCAAGCACCGUCUUACAUCAUUUCCGGCGCAAGAUGGAAUAUCGCUUCUAAAUCAAAUCAAGACUAUUCGCGAAUUGCCUAUCGACUGCGCGUCUCUUCACUGAUAUCAGCUUUUAUCAACGAUUUACCGUCGAUUAAUCUUCUCAUAUCUCCCAGGGUUUCUAGAGGUCAUGAAAAGGCGGGGAAUUUAAACUGAUCAGGCAAAGUCAAGAAAUUUAAGACUGGCCACGUAAAGUCAAGAAAUGUCUGAGAAACUCGCACUGAGUCAAGCAAUUUUUGAUAAACCGAAGUUAAAGUUAAUUUUAUUAUUUUCUUGACAA